GGCAAUUUGAAACGCACUGUCUGUGACGGCUGCUGAGGCUGCUGCGGGGGAGUGAAGGGCUGUCAUGACGAUGACCCCUGGAGUGGAUUUUUAGUUGCUGAGGAGAAGAGAGGAAAUGUGUUCUUGGAUUGAUGAAGAGUGAAUGAUUGGCAUGGUAUUGUGAUGGAUAGAAGUACCACCCAGAUUCUCCUUCAAUGAAGAAACCAGAAGUUGGGAGUGCUGUCAGUAGAUGCUUUCAAUGCUGGGUUUGUUCAGAGAUUGCCUCAGCUGCAGAGAGCUAGCUCAUCCAAGGUCAUCCCACUUCCUGUACAGCCCACAUCAAGUGACUGAUAGAGGUCAGAAUAUGGCUUAUUGGACAUUUUGUCCCAAUACAGGGACAUCCUGAUGGCCCAUUCUGGUUCUAGACCUCCUCACUGGGUCUUUUCACACCUUAUUCACCCUCUGCCCAAUCUUGCUGUCCCCCCUUCCUUCCCAAGUUGUUGAUUAUAAAACACUCACUAAUAAAUAUCUAAGUCUAAACUCCAUGUCAGAUUCUGUACAAUCUGACCUGGGUAAUGGAUCAUAUUAUGUAUUCAUCUCUGCAUCUUGCUUUUCCUCCUCACUAUAAUCAUGGACUCUGUCCCAGACAAUUGACAUAGAUCUAAUGCUUUCUUUUAAAUGACUAUGUAAUUUUCCAUGGUUUUCAUGAGCUACAAUUUGUUCAACUGUCCAUAUGAGGGAACAUUCUAGUAGUUUCCAAAAUUUAUUUUUAACCAUACAGAAAGUUCUGAAAUAAAUGUUCCUGUCACAAACCAAUUUAAACUCAAAAUUACAAGAUUACUUGCAAUGUUUCUAUUUUUUUCACCAAUCAAUUCUCCUUUAUUUCUUUAAUGAGUCCACAAUAGUCCACUUUUGUCUUCAUCUACUUUCUGAGAGUUCCAGUAUCAA